UUCUUUUCUGUGGCAGGAUUCAGCCAGUUUUUGUUGCCCAGGCCCAGAAUGGACUUCCAGAAGCGGCAUCCACACAGAGAACCAGUUGUUCCCAUAUUUGAAUCCCACCACUGGAUGACAUUCUUUUGAGUAUCCCAAGAUAAUAGCAGAACUCCUUAGCUCAGUGGUUCUCAACCUGUGGAUCUUAUUCCACUAGUCAUUGCCAAUUACAGAGGGCGACACUCAUCUCCAUUUCAAGGCCUUGAGCCAGCGCUGUCUGAAGACCUUUCCACGGUCAUGUGGCCAAUGUGAUGUCAUGGAGUGUUCUUCCCUUCCCACCAAAAUGGUACCUAUUUAUCUAUUCGCAUUUGCAUGUUUUCGGACUGCUAGGUUGACAGAGCAAGGAAUAGGAGCUCACCCCAUCAAAUGGAGCUUGGGUCUCAAACCCGGACUACCAUCUUUCCAGCCAAAAUGCCCAACAUCUUAACCACUGAGGCCACCGUGCUGCCUCUCCAGUCUCAUGCUUACCUUGAAUAACAACCACAAUGACUUACAACCAAAAUUCCCAUCCCAAUUGCGGUCACAAGUCAAGGACCACAUGUACACCCAAACUGGAUCUCAAUUUUAUUUAUUUAUUUACUUUCUCCUCCAACCCACUUUGGCUUCAGAUGCUGCAGACCACAAUCCCAAGAAGACAUUAAAAUAAUGGAUUACAGUGGGAAGAUCUUGGAAGACCAGAGUAGGCAUAAGUAACAUAGGAGGAAGUUUGUGGCAAUUAUGAGAAGACUGGGGGAAGACCUGAUGUAUAUUUUUAUGCCUGCAUGUACUUAUGCUAAUUGCUUCGACGUAAGUAGGUAAAGGCAGGAUUUGGGUCAACAUCACCAUAUGACCUGUCAUUGAUAGUCAUCAUGGCCUGCCAAUGGGCAGCUUCUAAAUAUGAGGACUCCAUCUUUUGGGUGGGAUUUCUUGUCAAUGACGACCACAUAGAGGAGGCUGAGCUGAACUGAAUGAGCAGAUAUGUGUCUGUCUGUCCAUCUCACUGUCUACUGCAAUGAGGAAUGAAGGAGGACUCCCCAGGAAGGAAAAAGAGAGAGGGGAACUAAGUGCAGGAUCUACCAGGAGUCGAUCAAAAGUCACAAAGAAUCACAUCAUCACCAGCAUUGAUGGUGUUACCUAGUUAGGAUAAUGAAACCUCUGCAAGAAAACAAACAUGCUCAGAGAGCACCAAGGACCCCUCAAUCACAUCAAGGUAGAAGAUGGUCAAAAGACUGAGCUUCCUUUGAAGGAUCUGGUAGGGUUUUGAUAUUUUAAGGCAGGGGUCUUCAAACAUGGGCCUUUUAUGACUUGUGGACUUCAACUCCCAGACUUCCUCAGCCAGGCACACUGGUUGAGGAAUUCUGGGAGUUGAAGUCCACAAGUCAUAAAAGGCCCAAGUUUGAAGAACCCUGCUUUAGGGCCUAGGAGCAACUGGGCUGAAAGAACGAAAACAAGCAAUUCUGGGAGUUGAAGUCCACGAGUCAUAAAAGGGCCAAGUGUGAAGACCCCUGUUUUAAGGCAUAAAAUCAGCUGAUCUGGAAUGAAUUUUACUUUAUUAAAGCACAGUUAGCCUCACCCAAGGAUUGGCAACAUAUCUUGAGCACUGUGUUAUGUAAUGUUGUCUCAUUCCAAUUCACCAAUAUCUCACGAGGUCACCCAUGAGACCACAAAACUCUUGCAAGAUCUCACCACGUUUAAAACCUUAUUUUAUUUGGAGGUCUGGAGGUGUCGCUUCGAAGUCCAAAUAGUUUUGAGUAAGUUCAACAGGUAUCCAAUAUUUCCCCAAAAUAUCCAGCAGGAAAGGAGGAAAAAUGAGGGAUUUUUACCUUGAACCCAGUCAAGCAUUUGGUCCACUUGAAACAGAAGCUUAAUAUGGCUAGCUCGUUGGCAGAACACACUAACAUAAUUACUGUAAACCCACACAAUUUGCACAAUAUUUGCAAUAGUAUUAUUGCACAAAAAUAGAGCAAUAGUUAUGAAACCAGACUGGCUUCAUACAUCACAUCAAGCUCCAUAUGCAUCCAGAAACCAGAGUUAAAACUAACCAAGCCUCACAUAUUGUCCGCUGACCUGAUUAGAUUCGUCAUGUGAACACCAUCAUUACUACAUACACUGACCUGGUAGCAGAUGCCAGGUUUUAAGCAUUAAAUUGUGCAAAUCUUCAGAAGAUUGCUUUGCAGGAGACAGACACACACUUCUCCACCUUCCUAGUACCA